rnacentral:rRNA from 1 species
GGAAGGUGCAAGCGUUAAUCGGAAGUUACUGGGGCGUAAAGCGCGCGUAGGCGGCUAGAUAAGUCGGGUGUGAAAGCCCUGGGGCUCAACCUGGGGAACUGCAUUCGAUACUGUCUAGCUAGAGUGUGGUAGAGGGAGGCGGAAUUCCGCAUGUAGCGGUGAAAUGCGUAGAGAUGCGGAGGAACACCAAUGGCGAAGGCAGCCUCCUGGACCAACACUGACGCUGAGGCGCGAAAGCGUGGGGAGCAAACAGGAUUAGAUACCCUGGUAGUCCACGCCGUAAACGAUGUCAACUAGCCGUUGGGAGCAUCUUGGCUCUUGGUGGCGUAGCUAACGCGAUAAGUUGACCGCCUGGGGAGUACGGUCGCAAGAUUA